rnacentral:rRNA from 1 species
UGGGGAAUUUUGGACAAUGGGGGAAACCCUGAUCCAGCCAUCCCGCGUGUGCGAUGAAGGCCUUCGGGUUGUAAAGCACGUUUGGCAGGAAAGAAACGUCAUGGGUUAAUACCCCGUGAAACUGACGGUACCUGCAGAAUAAGCACCGGCUAACUACGUGCCAGCAGCCGCGGUAAUACGUAGGGUGCAAGCGUUAAUCGGAAUUACUGGGCGUAAAGCGUGCGCAGGCGGUUCGGAAAGAAAGAUGUGAAAUCCCAGAGCUCAACUUUGGAACUGCAUUUUUAACUACCGGGCUAGAGUGUGUCAGAGGGAGGUGGAAUUCCGCGUGUAGCAGUGAAAUGCGUAGAUAUGCGGAGGAACACCGAUGGCGAAGGCAGCCUCCUGGGAUAACACUGACGCUCAUGCACGAAAGCGUGGGGAGCAAACAGG